rnacentral:rRNA from 2 species
GGAUCCCAUCAGAACUCCGCAGUUAAGCGUGCUUGGGCGAGAGUAGUACUAGGAUAGGUGACCUCCUGGGAAGUCCUCGUGUUGCACCU